GGAAAGGAAGACCCACUGAGAUGGCGGGGCAAGCCCUUACCAAUAUAUUAGAGAAAUCUAAAUCUAAUAUAAAGGAAGGGGUUGCUCCUUCAUCUCACAACCCCACGUUCUUCAG
rnacentral:precursor_RNA from 15 species